CCGUGCUAGGCGGGGAGGUAGCGGUGCCCUGUCGCUCGCAAUCCGCUCUAGCGAGGCUGAAUCCCCGGUUGAGGGGUGUGGCCAACGGGGUCUGCGCGCCGUGGCGGCGCUGAUGGCCCGGGUCCCGCGCGGCGUCGGCUCGUGAACCAGGUCAGGUCCGGAAGGAAGCAGCCUUAAGCGAUCACCGGCGAGCGCAGCGGGAGUUCCCGGUGCCGGAGCCGCCCUCCGGUGUGGCGCCCGAGGGACGCAUGUCGAGGUCGGGUGCACGG
rnacentral:SRP_RNA from 1 species